UGGGGAAUUUUGGACAAUGGGGGAAACCCUGAUCCAGCCAUCCCGCGUGUGCGAUGAAGGCCUUCGGGUUGUAAAGCACUUUUGGCAGGAAAGAAACGUCAUGGGUUAAUACCCCGUGAAACUGACGGUACCUGCAGAAUUAGCACCGGCUAACUACGUGCCAGCAGCCGCGGUAAUACGUAGGGUGCAAGCGUUAAUCGGAAUUACUGGGCGUAAAGCGUGCGCAGGCGGUUCGGAAAGAAAGAUGUGAAAUCCCAGAGCUCAACUUUGGAACUGCAUUUUUAACUACCGGGCUAGAGUGUGUCAGAGGGAGGUGGAAUUCCGCGUGUAGCAGUGAAAUGCGUAGAUAUGCGGAGGAACACCGAUGGCGAAGGCAGCCUCCUGGGAUAACACUGACGCUCAUGCACGAAAGCGUGGGGAGCAAACAGG
rnacentral:rRNA from 1 species